GGAUGAUUGCUGCAAUUGGUAGACAGGCAUGACUAAGGAUCAUGUGUUGAAAAACAUUGUGGGUUCGAAUCCCACAUCAUCCACUA
rnacentral:tRNA from 1 species